ensembl:lncRNA
CUGGUGAUUCACUUUAUUGCUGUCACGUAAAAACAAGGAUACAUAAUGGUAUAGUAUAAUGACACACAUAUACUGCCUGAUAUUCAUUGAGAUGCAGGACUUCAAUGUUCAUGUCCUCUAUCUCUUUGCAUAUGGACCAGACUGCAUGAAGUGUUUGAGAUGGGGUGGAGUUUCCAUCUCCCAUUGUCUCCUGAUCGGUCCUGCUACAUCUUUCGCCAUCCUGCUCCUGCAGAGCUCUUGCAGAGUAGGAGAGGGUCUUGGUACAAAGGUCACCUUUUCAACCUUGCUCAUAUAGUCCAGCAAACGUGCCAUGUUGUGGAAGUGUAAUGCUGUGUCAAUCACAUUGUUGACUACUACAUCUUUUACAAGCACAAACCCAUACUUAUCAAAUGUUACCCUGUAUGUGUUGCCGUUAGCGGUUACAAGUUCGAAGAGGUAUCCAAUCUCGUUGUCGUCCAUAUGACAGAUUGCUGCAGCCGGAUUGGGGUGUUCCUCUUCCAUUUUUUGUAGAUCCUGUAUCACUUCAAUGUGCUUAUGUGACACUGGGGAACUGCCCGUUAGAAGUCCCCACCAUGCAUGCUUUAGUUGCUGUUUCAUGUAACGCAUGCCUUCCACCGCAAGUGUGCCAGACGAAUUGUUCGGCCCUUCCGGUAUGUCUCCCGGUCUAGCCAUCAAGUAACCUUCUGGGACUGCUUUAAUCACAUCCUCUAUCAUCCCAGCAGGAUCACUGCUGUCCCAGUCUACGAAGUCUGUGCAUUUGUAAUAGCCUCGGGUGAUGUAUAUAUCAAAUGACACGAGGCUAUUGUCAGGGCUCUUCACCAUACCUGAACACACACCUCCGGGCAUGUCACCAAAGUAGGCAGCGAUGGCAAUAGCUCCAACAGUAACAUCGGUUCUAUUUAGGUAUGAUAUUAGCUGCUCUUCGGAGACGGAACCCCACCACUUCUCACCCAGAGAUUCUAACAGUGGAAGCCACGAUCUGUUCAAUAGAGGCCAGUUGCCAUAUUCAUUUCGGUAAGAGACACGGAUUGAAUCGAAUUGUCUUCCGUUUACAUAGGCCAUCGUCCAAACCGCUAGCUAUUUCGCUAUAUGUGUGUAAAUGGUAUCAUAGUUCUUUUGAAACCAGCAAUGGUAAGUACUAGUGAACUGGAAGCAUACCCCAACCCGAAAACAGUCAAUAACCCCAGGGAAAUUGCCUCAUGUUUCUAACUGUUGUUGCUAGGGAUGUGGCUAGUGGCUCCUCAGGAUGAUGCUGAGAUGUAGCUCUCUGAACAGCUUACACAGCCACAAUGCCUGUGCCUAACCGUAACCCAUCAUGGAAUGUCGGUUGACCGUGACACCUACUGCAACUGUCACAUUUACCAGCCACAUAUAGAACUCUAUGUCCUUAACUCAAGCCAUUGUGCAUUUCAGAAUUGUAAUCAUGUCAGAGGACAGUGGUGUAGAAACUGACAACAGCCAGCUGAGCCCGGCGUCUACCGUUAUCCUGAACCGUUCUGUAUGUACUCGGUUUGAUUGAGACUGACUAUGUUUCAUGUCCUUUCAUUCACUGUUGUACAAAGUAAAUGCCAUGUGUAUGCGAUAUACAUCCCAUGCCUUUAAUACACAUUCAGGAGAGCGAUUACAUACUAUCCUCUGACGACGAGGGACCUAGGAACCCUGUCUUGGAACAAGAGCUUCCACUGUUGCCCCCAGAGGUCCUCAACCAUGCACAGCCUGAGCAGCCUCAACCUCACCCGGCAUUACCUCCUCUUCCCCAGCUGAACAAUGCAGAGGAUGCCAUGGUAGAUAUGGUAGUGUAUACUGUGAUUACACUUUGCUUGUGUCUAAUGACAUCUUGGUAAUGCGAUUAUUCUCUUCCUCUCAAGUAUAUGGCCGAUGAUGAGGAGGGAGACGACUAGGUGCCGGGAUGUGGAGGCCUAACUAUACCAAACCCCUUUUUCCCUUUCUGUUCGCAAUAGAGGUUGUGUUCUUUGAAAAUUAAUGCUGUCACUAUGCCCUGCUUUAGGUAUGGAUGUAUUGAAAUGCACUAUGUCAAUAAAUGUGACUGGAUAUUCCUUCUCUGAACAAUAUUGUCUUUAUUCACACAUGGAUAUGGACAUUGAAUAGUACAGUACAAGGGCUUUGUAAUGGCACAUGAACCAAGCCAU